rnacentral:rRNA from 1 species
AUGAACGCUGGCGGCGUGCCUAAUACAUGCAAGUCGAGCGAACAGACGAGGAGCUUGCUCCUCUGACGUUAGCGGCGGACGGGUGAGUAACCCGUGGAUAACCUACCUAUAAGACUGGGAUAACUUCGGGAAACCGGAGCUAAUACCGGAUAAUAUAUUGAACCGCAUGGUUCAAUAGUGAAAGACGGUUUUGCUGUCACUUAUAGAUGGAUCCGCGCCGCAUUAGCUAGUUGGUAAGGUAACGGCUUACCAAGGCAACGAUGCGUAGCCGACCUGCGAGGGUGAUCGGCCACACUGGAACUGAGACACGGUCCAGACUCCUACGGGAGGCACCAGUAGGGAAUCUUCCGCAAUGGGCGAAAGCCUGACGGAGCAACGCCGCGUGAGUGAUGAAGGUCUUCGGAUCGUAAAACUCUGUUAUUAGGGAAGAACAAAUGUGUAAGUAACUAUGCACGUCUUGACGGUACCUAAUCAGAAAGCCACGGCUAACUACGUG